GAUCAAAACAUGGCCACAUGGUUACACUAGUGAGAAAGAGACACCACCUACUUCUAUAUUUUUUUUUUAAUUCAAUUCAAGGGUGUGGGUAGUUAGGGUCUGGCGGCCGGAAGAUGUCGCGAUGUACGGAAAGGUGGAGCCCCUCCCUUGAUGGACAGUAGCGUGUGGCCUGUGAUGUAAGCAAGCGGAAGUGACGCUAUGGGCCUCGGGUAUAUAACCCCAUGUGACUCGACAAUAAAUGCCAUUUGCCAUCCACCACAUUGGUGUCUGUGAGCCGAUGGACCGAGCGGCCUGGGGUUGGUCGCCGUGCCGUUCCUGAACCAGGUCGCCGCUGCCCCCUGAAGGCAACACAAGGGUAAUCAUAAUAGCCAGCUCAGAAAUUAUUUCUCUGCAGUAAUCACUUUAUCACUAAUAUUUGAUAUACAGCAAUCCAUGCUCAAAGACUUUUAGACAAUUUUUGCUUGUCUCUGUACUCAGCAAAUACUUUUGUACUUGUGCUACUCUGUCUAGAAAGUUCAAUUUUAUCUGCCUCAUCAGAUGAGGAAAUCAAAAUCUGACCAGAGAAAAUCUCUUUCAAUUUACAAAUCAUUAUUAUCACUGUCCCAGAAAUGACCCUUUGAAUACAUCAGGCCAAAUUCUGCUCUUGGUUAUUCUGGUCUGAUCCAGAAGAAACUGCAGCAACUCCAGCAGAGCAGUCCUCAUUCCACAUGGACAUACCUGACUGCAGUGCAUAGCUCAUCUCACUGCCUCCAAUGUUUUGAUAAUCAAAGCUGAAAUGGCAGAAUUGCAUUGUUCAGUGAUUCACCACCUGCAGUUGUGGGUUUUGUUUUUCCUAAGUGGAAUGAGAAAAGCUUAAUGGAUUGAGACUUUGAACCAAAGCUUUCUGCUCAGAGGUUUUUGUCCUAUGAGGACACUGUGCUGUCACCAGUGUCUCUGGUCCCCUUUGUUCUCACUGUCGCGUUAAAGGGGUGUAGCUGAUUAACCGUCACAGGCCCGUUUGGAUUCAGAGUACUGAACCAGUCGGACAUUCACCAAAACUGGGGGUCCGUUCGGACAUUCACCAAAAACGUAAUAACCGCCUGGGGGUCCACUCAGACAUUCACCAAACAACAAACCUGAAUUACUCUUACCUAAGCUGGUAAGUUUUAGUAUAGUUAUAAUUUCAUGUAAUUCUUUCCUUUUCAUUUAGUGUAAAGAAAAGCAUAAGGAUUUUCAGAUUUAAUUGCUUCAAAAUCCUGAGUAACUCAGAAAUACCUUGAGAUUUGCUCUUCUUUCAGUAUUUUUCUCCUGUAAUUGCUCAGUAAGCA
rnacentral:lncRNA from 1 species